GCGUGGGUAGCAAACAGGAUUAGAUACCCUGGUAGUCCACGCCGUAAACGAUGAGCACUAGGUGUUGGGCCCGUUAGGGCUCAGUGCCGCAGUUAACGCAAUAAGUGCUCCGCCUGGGGAGUACGCUCGCAAGAGUAAAACUCAAAGGAAUUGACGGGGACCCGCACAAGCAGCGGAGCAUGUGGUUUAAUUCGAAGCAACGCGAAGAACCUUACCAGGGCUUGACAUUUAGGUGAAGCGGCGGAAACGUCGUGGCCGAAAGGAGCCUAAACAGGUGGUGCAUGGCUGUCGUCAGCUCGUGUCGUGAGAUGUUAGGUUAAGUCCUGCAACGAGCGCAACCCUCGUCGUAUGUUGCCAGCGGUUAGGCCGGGCACCCAUACGAGACCGCCGGCGUCAAGCCGGAGGAAGGUGGGGACGACGUCAAGUCAUCAUGCCCCUUAUGUCCUGGGCUACACACGUGCUACAAUGGCCGGCACAAUGGGCUGCCAACCCGCGAGGGUGAGCGAAUCCCUAAAGCCGGUCCCAGUUCGGAUUGGAGGCUGCAACCCGCCUCCAUGAAGUCGGAGUUGCUAGUAAUCGCGGAUCAGCACGCCGCGGUGAAUGCGUUCCCGGGCCUUGUACACACCGCCCGUCACACCACCCGAGUCGAUUGCACCCGAAGUCGUCGGCCUAACCUUUUAGGAGGGAGACGCCGAAGGUGUGGUUGGUAAGGGGGGUGAAGUCGUAACAAGGUAGCCGUACCGGAAGGUGCGGCUG
rnacentral:rRNA from 1 species